rnacentral:rRNA from 1 species
UACGUAGGGUGCAAGCGUUGUCCGGAAUUAUUGGGCGUAAAGAGCUCGUAGGCGGUUUGUCGCGUCGGCUGUGAAAGCCCGGAGCUCAACUCCGGGUCUGCAGUCGAUACGGGCAGACUUGAGUGUUGCAGGGGAGACUGGAAUUCCUGGUGUAGCGGUGAAAUGCGCAGAUAUCAGGAGGAACACCGGUGGCGAAGGCGGCGACCUGGUCCGACACUGACGCUGAGGCGCGAAAGCGUGGGGAGCAAACAGG